rnacentral:rRNA from 1 species
CGUAGGCAGGGCGCAGCCUGAUCCGCCUGCCGCGUGUGUGAAGAAGGCCUUAUGGUUGUAAAGCACUUUAAGCGAGGAGGAGGCUACUUUAGUUAAUACCUAGAGAUAGUGGACGUUACUCGCAGAAUAAGCACCGGCUAACUCUGUGCCAGCAGCCGCGGUAAUAC